GAAGGGCAUGUGCACUGCAGUGUGCCGUGGACCAGUGGCCUCAGCUCAGUGUGUUGACGAGGGUCCCAAGGCACUCGUGUGUGGGGAUGUUAGCAACACACGGCGGGAAGCCCUGAUGCAGUUUCUCACCAAGCAUGUAGCAGACCCCACGCACCCGACACAGGUCAGGCACCCCACACAGGGCACAGACCGCACGCACCCCACACAGGGCAGGCACCCCACACAGGGCACAGACCGCACGCACCCCACACAGGGCACAGACCGCACGCACCCCACACAGGGCACAGACCCCACGCACCCCACACAGGGCAGGCACCCCACACAGGGCACAGACCCCACGCACCCCACACAGGGCACAGACCCCACGCACCCCACACAGGGCACAGACCCCACGCACCCCACACAGGGCACA
rnacentral:lncRNA from 1 species